GUCUCUCUGUCUGUCUGUCUUCUCUCUCUUUCUCUGUGUCUGUCUCUGUCUGUCUCUGUCUCUGUCUAUCUCUGUCUCUCUGUGUCUGUCUCUGUCUGUCUCUGUGUCUGUCUGUCUGUCUUCUCUCUGUGUGUGUGUGUCUUGGUCUCUCUGUGUCUGUGUCUCUGUGUCUCUCUCUGUGUCUCUCUCUGUGUCUCUCUCUCUGUCUCUGUCUCUGUCUCUGUCUCUCUCUCUCUCUCUCUCUCUCUCUCUCUGUCUUUCUCUCUCUCUCUCCCUCUCUUUCUCUGUCCUUAUUCCCCGAACUUGUUUUUGAGACAUUGCACCUGCUGGGGACUAAACAGUUCCCUCCAGAACCUCAAACUGCUGUGGACGAUUAUGUUCAUAAUAUAAAAUAUUGUUCCAGUUUGCGUUGCUGUGCUGAGAGUGUGGGUUCCUUUGUAUAUUAGUUGUCUGUUACGCCCAUGCUUUAAAGAUCUCUCGUGCUUCAGAUGGGCAAGUUUCUCUCCAUUGUGUCCAAUGGAGCUUAUUGGUCUUUCCUGCUCAAGGUUCCUUAGGCUUCUUCGCCUUAAAGACUUCUUUAUUCCCUACACUACACACUACGCGUUUCUCAGCCUCCUCUUCUCGGCGUUACCUUCCCACCAUUUUCGUCUUUCUGUUCCAUCCCCGAGGUCCCUGAGGCUUCACUUCAUCAGUCUCUGACUCAUUCCUGUCCUUGACCUUGUCUGAUAUAAGCUCACUUUCCUCUCCGGAGACCGGCACCCUGCUUUCCUGCGUCUCCAGCCAUGCAGGGUGACAGUGUUCCACAUCCAGCCACUGAAACACCAGCAGCUUUGGGGAUCCUGGGUCCAGCGGACAAGCUGUUUAGGGUUCGAGGGAAGAAUACAGAAACAGGGAGAGUGGGUUUCCUCCCCUGCAGAACUUCAGAGAAGUUGUGGGAAUGAUCGAGGGCUAUGGCCCCAUUCAUGGCAGAGAUCUCUGAGGUCUGUCUCCUUUCAGUUUACCUGAAAGUAAGGGACAGGCUUUGGCCUGUUCGCAGACCCAGUGGCUGUUCAGUGCCUCUCCACACACAGAAGUUCACAGACACUCCGUGCCCAGGACCCACAAGCCUGCCUGGGACCCUCUUGUCUCUCUUAAGCAUCUGCAGUUGGGUCACGCCAGUCUGCUGACUUCUCUUGUGCUGAGCAGCCCAAUGAGGACCAGCCCAGAUACCAUAAGAGGUUGCCAUGGUUACACAAUGAACGGCACAUUCAACCCACCUUGCAGGGACCAGCAAGGUCUGUGUCACUGGGAGGGAGGGAUAAGUACUUUAUUAUGGAAACUAUAAUGUCCCCAUGUACAGAAUGCCAUUCUUAAGUCAUUUCUGCCUUAAAGGCUACAAACACAAACUAUAGGGCAUUUCCCAGGCCCUGGGCUUAGGCGGGGAAACAGCUUAUCUCAGGCUCUGUGCCAAGAGCAGUGUAGUUACUCUGCCUUGUGCCCUCCGGAAGAAGGCUCAGAGAGGCCUGGCAACUCCUCUGUGAUCACAUAGUAGAUAGGUGACAGGGUCAGGGUUUAGAGCCGCAAGCCCCAGCAGUAAGUACGGCCUCAAACCAACCCUCUCCUAGCCCAGCCGGAAAGAGAAGACAUCUUCAGAUUAGGAUGGCAGAGGCGCGUUUGAACCCAGGUCUCCUGAGCUCCUCCUCUGUGCCAACAGAAAGGGAUAGGCUCUGCUGUCUGCAGCCCUGCAGUUGUGACACUGCUGCUGAUUCCUGUUUGCUAUCCCGACUCUACCAAACUGGACCGUGGUGCAUCUGUGAAGUGUUUGUGAGUGGAUCAAGCUGCCGCUGCUGACCUGUGAACUGAACUGCCUACUUCCAGACAACACAGAUGUUGCUCCAAAGAACCUUUCUAAACAGGUCCACUUCCCCAGAGCCUUCCUUUUACCUCUCGUGGGUGGUGGGCUACAAGGGAGGUUAAAGCAUUUAAGAACCAUCAUUAAAAAUAGGCAUUUGAAAAUAUUAAAGUUACAGUCACCUCUAGGUAUUUAAUUUGAAGAGCUGUCAGCUGUGGGCUGUCCUUACAGUGGAAUGUCACUCAGUCUUUUGACACGUGCUGCACGAAGGGACCCUGAGGACACCAAGCUAAGUGCAAAAAGACAGGUAUGAUUGUCUGAUUCUACAUAUAUCAGUGACUAAAUAGAAUAGUUGUGUCUACACUGAUAGGGUCUGGGGGUGUAGGGAAGGGAAGAGGGAGCUGGUGCAUAAAAGGCACAGCAUCUCAACGUCAUAAUUCAAAGAGUCCUGGGGCAGAGAAGGAGCAAUGGUCACACACCAGGACCGCUGAGCACUACACUGAAAAGUGGCUAAAAGUCCAAAAGUUUUGUGCUUUAUGUAUUUUGAUACCAAAAACCCCAAAAAACCAAAAAACCCUGAAAAUAAGGAAUCAGCCAUGACUAUGUAUAAAAAUCCAACUGGAGGGGCUGGAGAGAUGGCUCAGCGGUUAAGAGCGCCCGACCGCUCUUCCAGAGGUCAUGAGUUCAAUUCCCAGCAACCACAUGGUGGCUCACAACCAUCUGUAAAGAGAUCUGAUGCCCUCUUCUGGUGUAUCUGAAGACAGCUAUAGUGUACUUAUAUAUAAUAAAUAAAUAAAUCUUUAAAAAAAAAAUCCAACUGGAAGGACCUUGGCUGAAGCACUCAAUGUUCAACUGUAAGUAAAUAAUCUAAAAGAAGCCAUGGCCCAGUCACCGAGCUGGGCACCAUGUAAUCUUGGAGAUGGUAUUUUGAAACAGCACUGAAUCCCACGGGAAGUGUUCAUCGUGCAUUAUGUGGAAAGAAUGGAAGUCGUUUUGUGUUCAGUGUCAGUGGGAGCCAGGCUCUGGUGCGUGGGAGUCUCUGGGUGUGUGUGUUCAGGCAUUUGUGUGAGCAUCCAGCUUCCUGAGGUCCAGGCUCACUGACUGUUGUUUUCCUGGUGCAAGGACAGCCAGCGCUGACGGCAGUGAGUCAUAGCGAGCGUUUGUUCAGUGAAUGAAGAAGGAACUGAGGAAGAAAGGACCAGAAGGCUUACCUCAAAACCUUCAGCUGUCCUUCUUCCUGAUGUCAAGGCAGUUGACCUUAAUUUCUGUGUGAUCCCAGUGUUCUGCACAGAACACUAAUUGAUUUUCGGAAUAAAGUAUAUAGAGCACGCCAAAGCAGUUGUGGCUUAUUAAAACCACAGAUGCAUCAAGGCGCAUUGUAUGGAAUUCUGAAAGAAUUAAUGAAGUUAUUCUUAUUGUUGUUA